UAGGGAAUCUUCGGGCAAUGGACGAAAGUCUGACCGAGCAACGCCGCGUGAGUGAAGAAGGUUUUCGGAUCGUAAAACUCUGUUGGUAGAGAAGAACGUUGGUGAGAGUGGAAAGCUCAUCAAGUGACGGUAACUACCCAGAAAGGGACGGCUAACUACGUUCCAG
rnacentral:rRNA from 1 species